rnacentral:lncRNA from 1 species
UACAGUUUCUCUACACACAACCCACAGUGGACCACAGUGGACUGGUCCCAUUUGGGCAUUCCUUCUAUACUAGCCUGGUAGUCUCAGAAACUUCGUUGAGUCCUGGAGGUGAAGGAUCUGUAUAGCUCAUCCCACACUGUCAUAUAAUCAGGGCAAGCUCCAUGGGACGUCAAACUAUCAGACAGUUGCUUGGAGAGAAUGGAAGAAGCUGGAGGUAGGGGAAUCAGAGGCAGGAGUUUUACAACUUGAACAUUUGGUAGCAUCCACCCAGGACUACAAUAAGAAGACAGAAGGGCCUCUACCUAUGCUCAGUGCUUAGAUGAACGCUGCUAGUCUUGUCUUUGACAAGUGAUUUUUAUCUCCUUGGCUGACCAAAUCCUCCCCUGCCCUUUUUUUGUUAGAUACAUUAUUAUAUCUUCAAUCUGGUUAAUGUCCAUUCUUAUUGCCUGGGGAGCCACUUGACCGCUUUAAGGUACUUGCUAAUCUCUGCUCUGAUCCAUUAGGAAUUCAUUUAGAGUUUAACUCUCUGAGGGCAACUUCAUUUCUAAGGCUUGAGGACCACAGUGCAGUAACAAACAGAGGAGAGGAAGGUAGAGGUCCCAGCAAAGGGGGCUGCCUCAUUGGGACAGUAUAUUGCAAACCCUCAGGAAGGCAGGAGGAUAACAGGAAGACCCUAAGGAAAUGAGAGACUCAGGGUGAGGGGUGACAAACAGGAAAAAGGAAAAGUGAAUGCCAACCUCGACUUUGCAAUUUUCC